rnacentral:lncRNA from 1 species
GCGAGCCUUCCUGAUCACCACGAGGGCUAUCGAAAUUUUGUGAACGUUUUUGAAGAAUUUUAUAGAUCUUACACUGUCCACGGUUAAUAGAACUAGUUCUAUUAACCGUGCACUGUCUUAGAAUGGUUCUAAUAAAAGUUAAAAGGUGAGUAAACGUUUCUGUUUUACUUUAAGUGUGUAUUUUUAGAUAUAGUGUUUGAUUAAGAUUAAAAGUUAGCGAGGCAAAUUCGAAUCGAAUUUCAGCCAAAGGCGCCUUGCUUCGGUCGUUCGGUGAGCUUGAAUUCUUCGAUAUUUUUGUUAAAUAUGAUUGUAAAUAUGUUUUUAAAACACCCCCAGUUUAAUGUUGACAACUAAUUUAACUUUAUCUCUCAUUUUAGGGCAGAAAAUGUGGCGAAAUUCAACUGGAAUCGAAGAGCUUUUGACCUGACGACCUAAUGAAGUAGGUGUUGUUGUUUUGUUCUUUUAGUAACACAGUGAUAUAAGAAGCCAAAAAUAACGAUGAAUAUACUUUGUUUCGUAUAUUUGCGCGAGAAAAUAGCUAAAAUAAAUACACGUAUCUCAAGGAUGGCAAAGAUAUUGGAGGGAUUGUAAAAGCACCGAGUCGAAUUUCGGCCGCACCUAGCUUUGGGCUUUCGAUCCGAUGGUCUUAAAUUCUUUGAUAUUUCUGUAGAAGUGAUUAAAAAUAUGUUUUUAAAACACUCCUAGUUCAAUGCUGACAACUAAUUUAACUUUAUUUUUCAUAUUAGGGCAGAAAAUGUGAAGCAAAAUUCAAUUUGAAUCCAAAAGCUUUUGACGUAUAAAGUAUGUGUUUAAUAUGUUGUUGUUUUGUAUUAAAAGUGAUAUAAGAAACGCGAAGUAAUAAAAUAAUAUGUUUCGUAUAUUUUUACACAGUGGCGUAGCAAGGGCCGGUAUUAACUUUGGGUGGGGAGCAAAAUUUUUAUGGUAUUUUGAAUGCAAGGGAAUCUAGGGGAUUUUUGGGUGGGGCCCCCUUCCCGCCAGGGAAAAUUUUGAAUUCCUACGUUCAUUACAAUGCUAUUUCGUAUUUUAGGAUGUGGUUUGAAGAAAAGUUACAACCACAAAAAGUCAUUUUUAAGUUGCCUUAAUGUUGGUAGUUUGAAAAAAUAUUUUUGUUAAACAUUGUACUGUACAUAAUAGCACAGUGUAAUAAAAAGAAUGAAGCUCAUUUGGCUGCCAUAUUUCAACUUUGAAGUUGGUCAUGACUGCUGCUUUGUGCGCACAAGUUCAAAUGCACUUCUCCCAACCAUCUCCAGUUUUUUACUGGAUGUAGGAUUCAAAAUUGUGUUUCUAAGAAGAAUGUUGCCUCCCCACCUAUAACAUGGGACCUACAUUUCUCCUAACACCCAAUGGUGUUGAAAAAAGCCUGGCUCCAGCACUAAAGCUGGAGUAAUACAAGCAACAAAAUUGCUGUGACUUGUAAGAAAACCUAAUUUUAACACAUGUUAAAGGGACUCUACAGUCAUUUUUUAGUUGGAAGACGAAUGCAUGCCGCGAUGUGCAUGUCAAGCGGGGUUCGAAAUAGCUGCCGGCUUCUGACUAAAAAAUAUUAUAUUUAUUCAUCGAUGACUCGCUUACAAUAACACCACGAAAUAACACCAAAUAAAAUGUAUUACUGCGUUCUUACAAAUGUUGUGUUGGUUUACAUCACUAUUAUUUGGCCUAUGCCUACUCCAGAACAUAACUAAACUUCGCUUGGAAAAUAGCUGGCAACAAUUUUCACCUACGAAAAACAGCCUACAAAAUUUGACAUUAUUUCAAACCCUGUCAAGUAGCGACAAUAACAAGAAAAAAUGUAAACAAUACUAAAAUGACUGUAGAAAUCAGAUUUUGUUGCAAGUUGCAGCAAUUUUGUUGACUGUAUUACUCCAUCUUAACAUAUAUUAAAUGCACUUCAAGCAUAUAAUACAUGCAAUUGGAAACAGGAUAGAAAAAUGUUUAAUAAAAAGAUGACUGAACAAAGAACAAAUAAUUAUAUUAUGGAAUAUGGAGUAUGAAAAUGUGCCAAUAAUUUACCCCCUCUUAGUUGUAACUUUCUUAUCUAGAAUAAAUAUAUCAAAUAAAGUUUUCUUAUUUGUUUAUACAUCUGUUGUUUAUAUAGCAAGGCCCGAUACCAACUAGCUGCAGUGCUUGUGAACUGUUCAGACGACAUGACAGCUCAGUCCACAAAUCCACAACAUCAGCAAUGGAGGAACACACACAAGGACAAGUCGGAAGAAAAGCACACCCUUCUCUGCGAUAGACAGACCUAAUUGGUUCCUAUUAAUUGGGCCCUGCCUUUAAACACAUGCCUGUUGUGUGUGUGCACAGAGUAAUUCUCAAGAUGACAUUUGCUCCUGGUCCACAAAAGAAUUAUCCAUGGUCAAGGUGGAGAUAAAUCGUUUAUUUAAGAAGCCAUAUUGGUCCUCUUUAAGAUCUUGAAGUGUCAUAUGCUACAAAGGUAAAUCAUAAAUUCUUUGAUUUUACAUAGGAGACUUGUUUAUAUAUAUUUGGAUUGUGAUUUCUCCCAGCUUAUUGCUGCUUUAAAUAGUGACUUUAUGCUUUUAUCAUGCAGCUUAUUCUACAACUCCUGUACACUUUGACAAAGUCUUUCUAAAAUUCUGAAACCAUCCCUGAAUUAACUGCACACGAUUCCUAUACAACCAACAUGUCAUUUAUAUUGUGUGUCCUGUAUCUGGGAAGCCUCGUGCACACUGUAAAAAGACACAUGAUCAACAACCAUGAACCACAAUUGUAAAGAAAUUAUAUAGUCUUCAAUUUUUAAUGCCAAUACAUGACUUGUUGAACAUCGACUUUAAUAUACUCCAGCAUAAAAAGUUAACACACUCUUUAAAUUACCAAUUAAAUUGACAACAUAAUAAUGUGCAAUAUUAUGUACAAUGUAUUACAACAUUCAAAUUUUAAAAAUGAACAAUUCAAUUUUAAAAUUAUCAAAUUAUCAAAAUGUGGUGGACACAAGUCAACUCACUUUGAAGAACAAAUAAAAGCUGACAAAAAGUUCAACUGUACUUUUUUAAAUAGACAUAAUAGACCAUUCAAUGUUAACACUGAUAACCUGUGUUGGACAAUAGGUACAAAAAGCACCAAAUGCUCUAAAACAUUUUUGGUUAUAAAUUAAAACAGCUUGUGUUUUCUUUAUUCUCUUAUCUGUAUUUGAAGCAAACUGGAGGGAUGUUCGAUCACCCUGUAGUUGGCAUUACUAAGGCCAAGUAAAAAAUUCCCAGUUUCUCAUCAGACGUUUUUUUUAAAUGCAAAUGUGCCAUGCUUUUUUUUGUUUAAUUACUAAAAAACAUGUAUGUAUAUUUAUUUAAACUACAAUAUUUAUAAAAAAAACAUGAGGACAACUUGGUGGCCAUUUGCAUAAAAUAUUAUACUGGUAAAUAAUUUAUGUAGUUAUUUAUAAAAAAAUACAAAUGCAGUGGCUGUUAUUUAAUGCAGGAGCUGAUGAGAAACUGUGAAUAUUUUACUUGACCUAAUGGGCAAUAUUAUGUACAAUGUACCACUAUAUGACAAUUCUUGAUCAGAGAUUCUUAAUUUCAGGUGCUAAACAUGGGGAAAGAAGCAAAAUAAAUUCUGACUUCAUGGAGAAAGAAGCAAAAUUAAUUCUGACUGACAACUUCAUCAAUGGUUGACUAUCCAUUUAAAUACAAACAAUUCAUGGGGAAAGAAGCAAAAUUAAUUUUGACUGACACUGGCAUAAAUGGUUGACUAUCUAAUUUAAACACAAACAAUUUAUGGAGGAAGAAGCAAAAUUAAUUCUGACUGACAACUUCAUCAAUGGUUGGCUAUCCAGUUUAAAUACAAACAAUUCAUGGAGAAAGAAGCAAAAUGUACCUGAAAUCUGUGCACCUUUAUUAUGCAGUCAUUCAUUAACAAUGGUAAGUUAAAUAGCUUUGCAUAAAUAGUUAUUCAAUUGAAUAUUCCUUUAAAGGUGGUGGAAGUGUUUUUAAUUUACAAUACUGGUGCUUCAUGAAAGUACGCCACCAUUGUUAUAAUUAGAGUCUGUGUGAUUCUAACCUUUGUGUCAGCAUCUGAAGAGCCUGCUACAGGAGUAGUGGACGAUGAUUUGUUGACGGCAAAGGCAGUAAUUAGUGCAGCUAAUUAAGUAGAGUUGCAAGUACAAAGAAAUUUUGUCACCGACGUAAUUGGCUCACACUGUGUUAGUGUUCCUGAACCGUCUUCCUGUUUGCAUAUGUUUAUAUUUCUGUUGAUGAUGGCUGAAGUUAGAACCUGCCACAUGCAGGGUAUUAGCUGUGGCUGCAGAGACAUUGGCCUUGACUAAAUUGUCACGUACAUGGUGGUGUGUUGCAAAGUUGCUACCUUGCAAAUAAGACUAUACUUCAAUGUUUUCAGCACUCUUAGUCUCCCCCCUCUCCCUCUCUAAUAUACCACCUGAAUCUUUAUUGCAUUGUAGUUUCUAAUGAUUAUAUUGUGUGUUUGUAGAUUGUUACCAUAAGAGAACAGCAAAAAUUCUCUGAGGUUCAUCAAUGUCGGAGCUUGGUUGUGUCACUGUAACAACGAUGGCUCGCUGAGUGAACAACUGACAUGAACUCUGUUAACCAAAACAGUGCUGCAUGCCCCCAGGAGAGAUUGGUCCAGUGGCAGCAUGAAGAUAACUUGUGAAUAAAUGACAUUAUAACUAAUGGGCUUGGAUUCACAUGCAGCAAGUGAUUUAAGUUCCCUGAGCACCAGAUGUAUGCCAGUUAAAUGAAGGAACAACACUGCUCAAACCAACACAGAAAUGGUAAUCAUACGAAAAUUGAUUUGAUCUUGAAAGUGUUGCUGAAGAACGGUACUGUGUAUUAAUUUAUUUCUCUGAUCAUCAAGAGGUAUGCUCAAUAUUUAAAUUCAUUUAGGGCUGUUCUCAUUGACUCAAUGUAUUUAUACGGAUUAAUUUUUCUUCAAACAUAGAAGCUAGUAUGUUCGGUUUGUUUUUUAAUUUGACAGC